AGCAGCAGCCACGGUAAUACGGAGGGUGCAAGCGUUAAUCGGAAUUACUGGGCGUAAAGCGCACGCAGGCGGUUUGUUAAGUCAGAUGUGAAAUCCCCGAGCUUAACUUGGGAACUGCAUUUGAAACUGGCAAGCUAGAGUCUUGUAGAGGGGGGUAGAAUUCCAGGUGUAGCGGUGAAAUGCGUAGAGAUCUGGAAGAAUACCGGUGGCGAAGGCGGCCCCCUGGACAAAGACUGACGCUCAGGUGCGAAAGCGUGGGGAGCAAACAGGAUUAGAUACCCGGGUAGUCCCUGUCUCUUAUAC
rnacentral:rRNA from 1 species